rnacentral:tRNA from 1 species
GGGAAUAUAGCUCAUUUGGUAGAGCGUCGGUUUGAAGUACCGAAAGUCACUGGUUCAACUCCGGUUAUUCCCA